AGGGUCAUCUUUCCCCCAAACACCCUAAAAUACAGCAAGAGCCCUGGUAGAGGUGGCCCUGUCUGUUCUCAUGGAUUCUUAUUUCCUGUCCCCACAGCUGGAAACAAAAGCUGCUGCCUUCAGUCUCUUCUGGACUUUCUGUGUAGCUACACCAAGCCUUCAGAGAUACCCACUCUGCAUUCUAGAUCAAGGCUGCAAGGGGUUUCUGUGCCACUAAAAGAACUUGAGAGGCACCUAAUGUGGCUUUACCUGUGCCUUUAUUUGUUCUUGCCACUGGCACCAUAUGUGCCAGCCCACAACAAACAAUGGCCUUAUCAGGAUGCUGCAAGAUGAUCCUCCCUCCAGGUGGCUUCACAGCAAAUGAACAAAGAAGCCGUUUAUUUAUUGAUGCUUCACCAGCAACAUUCAGGUCAGUGUGUGGUGCACAGAUAGAGGAAGCUGGUCUCUGCCUCUGACACAUUUCCUGAUGGGAAAUUCUCU
rnacentral:lncRNA from 1 species